rnacentral:rRNA from 1 species
GAUGAACGCUAGCGGCAGGCUUAAUACAUGCAAGCCGUGGGGCAGCGCAGUGUAGCAACACAUGGGCGGCGACCGGCAAACGGGUGCGUAACACGUACGCAACCUUCCCGUUACUGGAGAAUAGCCCAGGGAAACUUGGAUUAAUACCCCAUAUUAUAUUGAUUGGGCAUCUAAUUAAUAUCAAAGCUUCUGCGGUAACGGAUGGGCGGGAGGUUGAUUAGGUAGUUGGCGGGGUAACGGCCCACCAAGCCUACGAUCAAUAGCUGAUGUGAGAGCAUGAUCAGCCACACGGGCACUGAGACACGGGCCCGACUCCUACGGGAGGCAGCAGUAAGGAAUAUUGGGCAAUGGACGAAAGUCUGACCCAGCCAUGCCGCGUGGAGGAUGAAGGUCCUCUAGAUUGUAAACUUCUUUUUUCUGGGGCGAAAACCGGUUUUUCUAAACCAUUUGACAGUACCAGAAGAAUAAGCACCGGCUAACUCCGUGCCAGCAGCCGCCGUAAAAC